rnacentral:siRNA from 1 species
GCAACCUCAAGUGUCUCAAAUGCU